rnacentral:rRNA from 1 species
CGUGUAGGCGGCCGAUUAAGUCUGGAGUGAAAGUCCUGCUUUUAAGGUGGGAAUUGCUUUGGAGACUGGUUGGCUUGAGUGCGGAAGAGGCAAGUGGAAUUCCCAGUGUAGCGGUGAAAUGCGUAGAGAUUGGGAGGAACACCAGUGGCGAAGGCGACUUGCUGGGCCGUAACUGACGCUGAGGCGCGAAAGCGUGGGGAGCGAACA